CCUGGCGACCAUAGAGACACGGAACCACCUGACCCCAUCCCGAACUCAGAAGUGAAACGUGUCAUCGCCGAUGGUAGUGUGGGGUUUCCCCAUGUGAGAGUAGGUCAUCGCCAGGC
rfam:Spongiibacter sp. IMCC21906, complete genome.